rnacentral:rRNA from 1 species
AACGAACGCUGGCGGCAGGCUUAACACAUGCAAGUCGAACGCACCUUUCGGGGUGAGUGGCAGACGGGUGAGUAACGCGUGGGAAUCUACCCUUCUCUACGGGAUAGCUCCGGGAAACUGGAAUUAAUACCGUAUACGUCCUGAGGGAGAAAGAUUUAUCGGGGAAGGAUGAGCCCGCGUUGGAUUAGCUAGUUGGUGGGGUAAAGGCCUACCAAGGCGACGAUCCAUAGCUGGUCUAAGAGGAUGAUCGGCCACAUUGGGACUGAGACACGGCCCAAACUCCUACGGGAGGCAGCAGUGGGGAAUAUUGGACAAUGGGCGCAAGCCUGAUCCAGCCAUGCCGCGUGAGUGAUGAAGGCCCUAGGGUUGUAAAGCUCUUUCAGUGGGGACGAUAAUGACGGUACCCACAGAAGAAGCCCCGGCUAACUUCGUG